rnacentral:rRNA from 1 species
UACGUAGGUGGCAAGCGUUGUCCGGAUUUACUGGGCGUAAAGGGCGCGUAGGCGGCCUGCUAAGUCGGACGUGAAAUCCCUCGGCUCAACCGGGGAACUGCGUCCGAUACUGGCGAGGCUUGAAUCCGGGAGAGGGAUGUGGAAUUCCAGGUGUAGCGGUGAAAUGCGUAGAUAUCGAGAGGAACACCUGCGGCGAAGGCGGGUUGCUGGGCCGACACUGACGCUGAGGCGCGAAAGCCAGGGGAGCGAACGGG